rnacentral:rRNA from 1 species
UACGUAGGGUGCAAGCGUUGUCCGGAAUUAUUGGGCGUAAAGAGCUCGUAGGCGGUCUGUCGCGUCGGCUGUGAAAACCUGAGGCUCAACCUCAGGCCUGCAGUCGAUACGGGCAGACUAGAGUUCGGUAGGGGAGACUGGAAUUCCUGGUGUAGCGGUGAAAUGCGCAGAUAUCAGGAGGAACACCGGUGGCGAAGGCGGGUCUCUGGGCCGAAACUGACGCUGAGGAGCGAAAGCGUGGGGAGCAAACAGG